UACGGAGGGUGCGAGCGUUGUCCGGAAUCAUUGGGCGUAAAGGGCGCGUAGGUGGCCCGGUCAGUUCGUGGUGAAAGCGCGGGGCUCAACCCUGCGUCGGCCAUGAAUACUGCCGCGGCUGGAGCACUGUAGAGGCAGGCGGAAUUCCGGGUGUAGCGGUGGAAUGCGUAGAGAUCCGGAAGAACACCGGUGGCGAAGGCGGGUCUCUGGGGCAACAACUGACGCUGAGGAGCGAAAGCGUGGGGAGCGAACAGG
rnacentral:rRNA from 1 species